rnacentral:rRNA from 1 species
CUUAAGCAUAUCAAUAAGCGGAGGAAAAGAAACCAACAGGGAUUGCCUCAGUAACGGCGAGUGAAGCGGCAAGAGCUCAAAUUUGAAAGCUGGCCCCCUCGGGGUCCGCGUUGUAAUUUGCAGAGGAUGCUUCGGGAGCGGCCCCCGUCUAAGUGCCCUGGAACGGGCCGUCAUAGAGGGUGAGAAUCCCGUCUGGGAUGGGGUGUCUGCGACCGUGUGAAGCUCCUUCGACGAGUCGAGUUGUUUGGGAAUGCAGCUCUAAAUGGGUGGUAAAUUUCAUCUAAAGCUAAAUACUGGCCGGAGACCGAUAGCGCACAAGUAGAGUGAUCGAAAGAUGAAAAGCACUUUGAAAAGAGAGUUAAACAGCACGUGAAAUUGUUGAAAGGGAAGCGUUUGCGACCAGACUCGCCCGCGGGGUUCAGCCGGCAUUCGUGCCGGUGUACUUCCCCGUGGGCGGGCCAGCGUCGGUUUGGGCGGCCGGUCAAAGGCCCUCGGAAUGUAUCACCUCUCGGGGUGUCUUAUAGCCGAGGGUGCAAUGCGGCCUGCCUGGACCGAGGAACGCGCUUCGGCUCGGACGCUGGCGUAAUGGUCGUAAAUGACCCGUCUUGAAACACGGACCAAGGAGUCUAACAUCUACGCGAGUGUUCGGGUGUCAAACCCGUACGCGCAGUGAAAGCGAACGGAGGUGGGAGCCCCCUCGGCGGGGCGCACCAUCGACCGAUCCUGAUGUCUUCGGAUGGAUUUGAGUACGAGCGUAGCUGUGGGGACCCGAAAGAUGGUGAACUAUGCCUGAAUAGGGCGAAGCCAGAGGAAACUCUGGUGGAGGCUCGCAGCGGUUCUGACGUGCAAAUCGAUCGUCAAAUU